rnacentral:rRNA from 1 species
CAAUAGCGUAUAUUUAAGUUGCUGCAGUUAAAAAGCUCGUAGUUGGAUUUCGGGUGGGAAUGGCCGGUCCGCCGUUUCGGUGUGCACUUGCUACGCCCACCUUGCUGCCGGGGACGUGCUCUUGAGUUCACGCUCGGGACACGGAGUCGGCGAGGUUACUUUGAGUAAAUUAGAGUGUUCAAAGCAGGCCUACGCUCUGAAUACAUUAGCAUGGAAUAAUAAGAUAGGACUUUGGUACUAUUUUGUUGGUUUGCAUACCAAAUUAAUGAUCAACAGGAACAGUUUGAGGAUAUUCGUAUGAACAUGUCAGAGGUGAAAUUCUUGGAUUUUGAUCAGACGAACUACUGCGAAAGCAUUUAUCAAGGAUGUUUUCAUUAA